rnacentral:rRNA from 1 species
AUUGAACGCUGGCGGCAGGCCUAACACAUGCAAGUCGAGCGGAUGAGGGGAGCUUGCUCCUGGAUUCAGCGGCGGACGGGUGAGUAAUGCCUAGGAAUCUGCCUGGUAGUGGGGGAUAACGUCCGGAAACGGGCGCUAAUACCGCAUACGUCCUGAGCGAGAAAGUGGGGGAUCUUCGGACCUCACGCUAUCAGAUGAGCCUAGGUCGGAUUAGCUAGUUGGUGGGGUAAAGGCCUACCAAGGCGACGAUCCGUAACUGGUCUGAGAGGAUGAUCAGUCACACUGGAACUGAGACACGGUCCAGACUCCUACGGGAGGCAGCAGUGGGGAAUAUUGGACAAUGGGCGAAAGCCUGAUCCAGCCAUGCCGCGUGUGUGAAGAAGGUCUUCGGAUUGUAAAGCACUUUAAGUUGGGAGGAAGGGCAGUAAGUUAAUACCUUGCUGUUUUGACGUUACCAACAGAAUAAGCACCGGCUAACUUCGUG